UCCGCCGGCUGCCGGCCACAUUGCUUCCAGACGUUCGUCCAAAUUGGUGAUGGUCGAGCUAAUAAUUUCUUCCACGUCGUUAAUCGCAAGCUGCAGGCCCAAUACGUUGCUGGGGCAGCCCGCGGCUACAAGGUGAAGAUGAGAUACCGUAGCGGCGACGGAGACUAGAUGCGUGCGACACGGGCUUGAUGAAACACGCGAGAUGAGUUUGACAGCCUCGACUACGGAGCUGAAUCAUGGCAUCGCCAAUCUGUGAUCAUCACAUCUAUCAAGCGCGUGCGGCUCAACAUGUCAGCAACGACAAGGCAUUGACGAUUAUUUUAUUCCGGGCGGUGAAAUGGUGCAAUUUUCCAUUUUUAUUAUUCAAGGCCGCAACUGACGAAUACAAAAUUUGUUAUGUAAUACUCCAGUUAUACGCUAAGCCAUGAGACAUGAGAGUACAAUCUACGAUGUAUUUUCUUUAGAUGAUUCAACCUACAAGGUAUACCAACCCUGUUACACAUCA